rnacentral:rRNA from 3 species
CUAACGUGGACCCGUAAUCCGGGUUGCGGACAGUGUCUGGUGGGUAGUUUGACUGGGGCGGUCUCCUCCUAAAGAGUAACGGAGGAGCACGAAGGUUGGCUAAUCCUGGUCGGACAUCAGGAGGUUAGUGCAAUGGCAUAAGCCAGCUUGACUGCGAGCGUGACGGCGCGAGCAGGUGCGAAAGCAGGUCAUAGUGAUCCGGUGGUUCUGAAUGGAAGGGCCAUCGCUCAACGGAUAAAAGGUACUCCGGGGAUAACAGGCUGAUACCGCCCAAGAGUUCAUAUCGACGGCGGUGUUUGGCACCUCGAUGUCGGCUCAUCACAUCCUGGGGCUGAAGUAGGUCCCAAGGGUAUGGCUGUUCGCCAUUUAAAGUGGUACGCGAGCUGGGUUUAGAACGUCGUGAGACAGUUCGGUCCCUAUCUGCCGUGGGCGCUGGAGAACUGAGGGGGGCUGCUCCUAGUACGAGAGGACCGGAGUGGACGCAUCACUGGUGUUCGGGUUGUCAUGCCAAUGGCACUGCCCGGUAGCUAAAUGCGGAAGAGAUAAGUGCUGAAAGCAUCUAAGCACGAAACUUGCCCCGAGAUGAGUUCUCCCUGAGACUUAGAGUCUCCUGAAGGAACGUUGAAGACGACGACGUUGAUAGGCCGGGUGUGUAAGCGCAGCGAUGCGUUGAGCUAACCGGUACUAAUGAACCGUGAGGCUUAACCUUACAACGCCGAAG